rnacentral:lncRNA from 1 species
CCCGCCGCGCCCGCCCCCCGCCACAGCGGCGGCUCCGCCCUAUCCCCGGAGCCUUCAGCUCUUGCCAGGGUGCCGCCGGGUCCGUCAUGGACUCUCUGACGCUCCGUAAGCACAUGCUUCCGCCCUCGACAAAGAUGGCUGCAUACUCCGUCUCACUUCGCCCUUGGCCGGUAUCAAAUACCCUACUGUCUUUCAUUCUCGCGUCACUGUUGACGGGGAUGGUGCCGAUUCCGAAGACUGUGGGCUAGUCAAGUUAGGUAAACAGGACAUAGUGGGUUUUCUUUGAUGGAGAAAUGAUCAAGAAAUGAUGGCUUGUGGAGAAGGAUCCUCCAGGAAGCCAAGCAACCUGCUAAGGAGCUGAUGCCUGAGGAGGAGCGUGUGAAAGAGAAAGCAGAGAAGAAAAGACUCUGGAAGAAGCGUCAAAAGGAUCAGAAGCGAAGAGAGUACUUGGAGAAGGAUGGCAGGGAGUCCAACACGAAUGUCUGCAGGCAGAUCCCAAGAGCACCAAGUGCCAGGAGGUGGGACUGGAAAAGCAGGCAGCUCAAGCUGAUCCCAACUCUAGCUAUUCACCUUCCCUUCAGGCCGAGGCCGUUACAGAUGGCGAUGGGAGACCCCCGUCCAGCUCUGGGAACUCAGCUCAGGGACAGUGUAGUGAGGAAGAAGAAAGAGCCUCCCUCCUUCCCUUCAUGGUCUCCGCCUGCCCUCUCCUUCCACUACUCCAGGACAUACGUCAUCCCUGCCCUUCCUUAACUUUCCUUUCUGCUCACAAGACUCACUGGAUCUAUCUGUUAAUAGUACUUUUGUGUCUCUGGCUUUCAGCAAGGUUGGAGAUUGACCCCUCAAUGCCCACAGAGAAAAGGGACUAAGUCAUUAGCCCCAAGGCAGAAGCCUGGGUCUCCAAGAAAAGAUGAACCGGGAGGAAGGAAGUACUCCAAAAGAAGAGAGCCCUAGGCAGAGUCAUAAGGCAGAGGUGAGGAGGUGGGCGGAAGAACCUCAGCUAGAACCAGGGGAAGGGGUGCCAGAGGGCUUUGGGAAGAGAGGUGAUCUACUAAGGGUUGAGGGCAGUGACUAGUAGAAGGAGUUCUCUGGCCCCAAGGUUGAGACACCAGGGAUCAAGAUCCAUCACUGUCCCCCUGACCCAGGGUAGUUUCCUCUACAGGAAAGUAGGGCUGAUUCGAUCUUGCAGAACUGUCAUGAGGACUCCAUGCGUUGCAUGAUGCAAAGUGUUUGGACAAAGGAGAAGGAUUUGGGGAGGCUGAGGCCUUGACUUUGCUUCCCAUCCCUAGGUUAUCUCCAGGACUGCUGGCAGCUGCCUUACAAUAGAGCCAGGAGCUGGCAAGUGAGAUUCUUUCUCCUUCCUCACCCAUCCCUCCCUAGGAUAGCCCCAUCUGAACUUCCCACUCUCCCUUCUCCCCAGAGUUGGGUACCAGCUUUGCUCAAAAUGGUUUCUACCACAAGGCCAUGGUCCUUUUCACCUGAGUCUUGAAGCUCAACCCCCAGGACCACUAGUAGGUGGGGGGUGGGGGUGGCCUUUGUGCUGAGCUAUCAGGGCAAGGUGGGGUGCCAAGGACCCAGACUUUGGCCCACUUUAUUUUUUAUCAGGUUAUUUGGAAAUUGCUCAUUCUGCAGUGAAUGGCUGGAUCAGCCGGUGUGAGCCCUGACUGAUGUAGCCCCUGGGGCCUCUUCCGCCUGGGCAAGGCCUUGAUGGUACUGCAGGUAAUGGGUCUGAGGUUGGAAGCAGAAGAGGAAU